GAUGAACGCUGGCGGCGUGCCUAAUACAUGCCAGUCGAGCGAACAGACGAGGAGCUUGCUCCUCUGACGUUAGCGGCGGACGGGUGAGUAACACGUGGAUAACCUACCUAUAAGACUGGGAUAACUUCGGGAAACCGGAGCUAAUACCGGAUAAUAUAUUGUACCGCAUGGUUCAAUAGUUAAAGACGGUUUUGCUGUCUCUUAUAGAUGUAUCCGCUCCGCAUUAGCUAGUUGGUAAGGUAACGGCUUACCAAGGCAACGAUGCGUAUCCGACCUGAGAGGGUGAUCGGCCACACUGGAACUGAGACACGGACCAGAAUCCUACGGGAGGCAGCAGUAGGGAAUAUUCCGCAAUGGGCGAAAGCGUGACGGAGCAACGCCGCGGGAGUGAUGAAGGUCUUCGGAUCGUAAAACUCUGUUAUUAGGGAAGAACAAAUGUGUAAGUAACUAUGCACGUAUUGACGGUACCUAAUCAGAAAGCAACGGCUAACUACGUG
rnacentral:rRNA from 1 species